GGGUGUGGUUGUGUGAUUAAACAAUAUUUCCGAAACCAAAAACCAAUUCGGUGCAUCUUUUUUGUUUCAGAGGAUGCGAGGCAACCCACAAAUAUCGAACCCUAUUGUUGUUAUAGAGACUUGUUAUCCUAUCCCUGACGUGUGAGCUCUUAUCUCCAUUUACUAUAUAUCACAUGGCUCUUGUAUCUCCCAACUGUUUCUCAUAUAAAAAGCCAAAGUUACCACUCAGAAACAACGCAUCUCUCGCAGCCAGAGCUCUCUCUCUCUCUCUCUCACAAAAUGGAGAACCAGACAGAACAAGUGACUUUUGACAUGGAUGCACUCAGGGCCAAUCUUCCGCAAAAGAGGGGGGGGUUGUCAAGGUAUUACUCCGGGAAAGCAAGGUCAUUUACAUGCAUAGCUGAUGUUCGUUGUCUUGAAGAUCUAAAGAAACCAGAACGCCCUGAUCCCAAGAAAAGGCAGAAAUAUUCAGAUGGGAAUGGCUCGCACGUUCCUCCAUAUCCAUGUCGACGAGUAUCUAGCUCCACCCAGUGCAUCUCACCCUGUGUUGGCGUGUGAAAACAGCCAAAUAAGCUUUUUGGCUUCCUUCUGCGCUUUUCUUUUAUUAUUAUUUUGACGCUUUGCCGCACUGUGUACAGGAGGAAAUCUUCACAAGCAUUUGUAAAUGAUAAUAAAAUUUUGUAGUUCAUAUCUAAA